UUCUUCUUCCUCCACACGAUUUUAUACUUCUUAUUUUCUUCUUCUUCUGUACCUCUUCGAUCUCCUCAUCUAAUCUCAUCUCUCUUAUCCUCUUCCCAUCUCUCUUUCUCCUCUGCUCAUCUUUCAUUUACUUUUCUUCUUUCAAGCAAAUGGAUCUGAACGAAGAGGAUUACCACCGUCAUGCUUCUCACCACCAUGCUCCUUUCUAUUCGGUUGCGCCCUUCACCACCGCACGCUCGUCAACACCACCACCGGAAAGUGGAGGAGGCACAGGAUUGAUGAAUGAGGCACAGGAGAUUGAUGGAGGAGGUAGCAGUGGUGGGUCGUGAGCAGAGCCGGCUUGAAUGUUGAAGACGAAGAAGCUCGGUGAGGAGGCCGCAGGCGGCGGAGAAUAUACAUUAGGUUUAGAUUAGGGUUAGGUAUAUUUUUAAUUUGGUUUAGUAUGCUAAACCGAUUUUAUUUAUUAAUAGUUUGAUAAAUCGUUUUAAAUUUUGUAAGCCAAUUUGAUAUAUAAAAUAUAAUUUAAUAAUAUUUUUUUAUUUCGUAAA